ensembl:lincRNA
AUACUGUUUACUACAGAGGAACAGGAUCAUAUUGGGUGGGACCCACAAGUUGGUCCCAGAAAAGUACAUCAGAUGUUCCAAGAAUCCAGUAGGAUAUUGAUGCUCCCUUCUCUAAGACCAUUCCUGACUGGGACACUAAUUCAGCUGAAGGUCACUGGGUUCCAGAUACCCACAAGAAGAUCCAGAAGAUUGAAAGCUUUGAAGAAACAGCCAACCACUUUUCACCUUCAAGUAGCAAGAUCUGGAAAACAGGUUCAGUGUACAGCUAAUCUGGACAAGACUUCUGCAAGGAUUUAAGAACUUGCCCACCAUCUUUGACAAGGCUCUCCUUCAGGACUUAUACUACCAUGGAUUAACGCUGGACUUCAACAAAAACAAAACAUCAGUCAUGGAAAUAGUCAUGGAAAUUAAACAACUCUCUCCUCAAUAAGCAGAGGAAGGAAGAAAUAAAGAAAUUAAAGACUUUAUAGAGUUCAGUGAAAAUGAAGGAACACAUACCCAAAUUUAUGGUACACAAUGAAAGCAGUGCUAUGAAAAAACCAUAAAGAGAUUAGAAA